CCUACGGGAGGCAGCAGUGGGGAAUAUUGCACAAUGGGGGAAACCCUGAUGCAGCGACGCCGCGUGAGUGAAGAAGUAUUUCGGUAUGUAAAGCUCUAUCAGCAGGGAAGAAAAUGACGGUACCUGACGAAGAAGCCCCGGCCAAUUAAGUGCCAGCAGCCGUGGGAAUACGGAGGGGGCAAGCGUUAGCCGGAUUUUCUGGGUGUAAAGGGAGCGUAGACGGCAGCGCAAGUCUGGAGUGAAAGCCCAUGGCUUAACCAUGGAACUGCUUGGGAAACUGUGCAGCUUGAGUACAGGAGAGGAAAGCGGAAUUCCGAGUGUAGCGGUGAAAUGCGUAGAUAUUAGGAGGAACACCAGUGGCGAAGGCGGCUUACUGGACUGUAACUGACGUUGAGGCUCGAAAGCGUGGGGAGCAAACAGGAUUAGAUACCCCUGUAGUC
rnacentral:rRNA from 1 species